rnacentral:rRNA from 1 species
AGUGAACGCUGGCGGUAGGCCUAACACAUGCAAGUCGAACGGCAGCACAGUAAGAGCUUGCUCUUACGGGUGGCGAGUGGCGGACGGGUGAGGAAUACAUCGGAAUCUACUUUUUCGUGGGGGAUAACGUAGGGAAACUUACGCUAAUACCGCAUACGACCUACGGGUGAAAGCAGGGGAUCUUCGGACCUUGCGCGAUUGAAUGAGCCGAUGUCGGAUUAGCUAGUUGGCGGGGUAAAGGCCCACCAAGGCGACGAUCCGUGGCUGGUCUGAGAGGAUGAUCAGCCACACUGGAACUGAGACACGGUCCAGACUCCUACGGGAGGCAGCAGUGUGGAAUAUUGGACAAUGGGCGCAAGCCUGAUCCAGCCAUACCGCGUGGGUGAAGAAGGCCUUCGGGUUGUAAAGCCCUUUUGUUGGGAAAGAAAAGCAGCAGGUUAAUACCCCGCUGUUCUGACGGUACCCAAAGAAUAAGCACCGGCUAACUUCGUG